rnacentral:rRNA from 1 species
GCAGUGAGGAAUAUUGGUCAAUGGGCGUUAGCCUGAACCAGCCAAGUAGCGUGAAGGAUGACUGCCCUAUGGGUUGUAAACUUCUUUUAUAAGGGAAUAAAACGGGGAACGUGUUCCCCUUUGCAUGUACCUUACGAAUAAGGAUCGGCUAACUCCGUGCCAGCAGCCGCGGUAAUACGGAGGAUCCGAGCGUUAUCCGGAUUUAUUGGGUUUAAAGGGUGCGUAGGCGGAUUGAUCAGUCAGUUGUGAAAGUUUGAGGCUCAACCUUAAAAUUGCCGUUGAUACUGUCAUUCUUGAGUGUACAAGAGGUGGGCGGAAUUCGUGGUGUAGCGGUGAAAUGCUUAGAUAUCACGAAGAACUCCGAUUGCGAAGGCAGCUCACUGGGGUACAACUGACGCUGAGGCACGAAAGUGUGGGUAUCAAACAGGAUUAGAUACCCUGGUAGUCCACACAGUAAACCUCAAUACUCGCUGUUUGCGAUAUACAGUAAGCGGCUAAGCGAAAGCGUUAAGUAU